AAAAAAGGAGUUGCAUUUUAUUUUAAGACGAUAAAGUGACAUGAUAUCCCUAAUAUUGCCAUUACUUUGUUACUGCCAUUUCUAGCAUCACACCACCACUAAUGAACUUUAGCUAAUACUAAGGGAACAUUUAGAAACUUAAAUUUAUCCGUAAAAGUCAUCGUUUUAGAGAUCUAUCUCUAAUUUUGGAAUGGAGGGAGUAGUUAUGUUUCCCUUUAUUAUGAAUGCAAUUUAGGCACCAUAUUGUGAAGUGUAUUGCCGAGUGCUGAUCGUUGAGAGUUAUAUGGUGCAUAUGUCUGUAUCUAUUUCCUUUGUUCAGAAGGCUAAUCUUCUCUCCCAUUUUCUGUAUUAUUUAAAAAUCUUUCAUACCAAAUAUGAAUGUUAUAUCUUACUCAUAUUUUCAAUGUAUUCUAGUAUACUUUUAUUGUUUAAGCACUCCACGCUGAUUGAACAAGUUUGUAUGUUUUUUCGGUCAGUUGUUUUAUGUUUCUUUAGUUUAGCAUGGUUAACAAUCUCUCAUCCCAUUGGCUCACUUAAUUUGACAGCAUAGUUCUAUAAAUUUAGGAUUAGGAAAAGAAAUGGUUGGAAAAGAGACAUUUCCUAAUACCUCUUGGGUUUUUGGAAGUUAUUUGACUUGGGCAAUCUGUACACUGUACUGCUGCUUAGAUUAUUUUAAUUGUGUCAUUUAUAUGGUUGGAAAAGAGACAUUUCCUAAUACCUCUUGGGUUUUUGGAAGUUAUUUGACUUGGGCAAUCUGUACACUGUACUGCUGCUUAGAUUAUUUUAAUUGUGUCAUUUAUAUGAGUUUUAAUGGUUUAUAACUUGUUCCAUGUUUUUUGAAUUCAGUGGAUUUGUGUGAUUUCUAUUUUGAAAUCUAUUUAUUGCAAUAGUUUUAAAUUGGUGAUUGGUUGUGUUUACAGUCCCGCUUGCUUGAUACAAUGUCCUUUAUAGAUCCACUUCCUCCAUUCAGAAUAAAGCAGUGGCAAGUGAUUGUUCUUCUGUUUAUUGAUGCUCUUUCUGUUUCUCGGAUCCCUUCAAUCAUCCCACACAUGACAAGUGGGAGAAGGUUGUUUCACAAGGUGAGAUCCUG
rnacentral:lncRNA from 1 species